CCUACGGGAGGCAGCAGUGAGGAAUAUUGGUCAAUGGGCGCGAGUCUGAACCAGCCAAGUAGCGUGAAGGAUGACUGCCCUACGGGUUGUAAACUUUAUCUAUAAAGGAAUAAAGUGAGGCACGUGUGCCUUUUUGUACGUACUUUAUGAUUAAGGCUCGGCUAACUCCGUGCCAGCAGCCGCGGUAAUACGGAGGUUCCGAGCGUUAUCCGGAUUUAUUGGGUUUAAAGGGAGCGUAGAUGGGUUGGUAAGUCAGUUGUGAAAGUUUGCGGCUCAACCGUAAAAUUGCAAUUGAUACUGGCAGUCUUGAGUACAGUUGAGGUAGGCGGAAUUCGUGGUGUAGCGGUGAAAUGCUUAGAUAUCACGAAGAACUCCGAUUGCGAAGGCAGCUUACUAGACUGCCACUGACAUUGAUGCUCGAAAGUGUGGGUAUCAAACAGGAUUAGAUACCCGUGUAGUC
rnacentral:rRNA from 1 species